AUGCUCCCCAAACCGGGUCAAUCUGGACUGCGUCCUCCUGGCUUCUCCCAUCUGCCUCCUGCUAGACUGGCCACCUUUGGUUUUGUCCGCAGUGCUAGCGUGUCUUCUGUGUCCAGCAACCAAUCAAAUGACAGCACACACAGUGGCCCCUGCCGAUCCAGCCGUCCACACAGCAGCAGUGAUGAAACUCUCCUCUCGCGCUCUCGUCUCCCUCCUGCUGAGAGCAGCAGUGGCAGGAGUCAGAACCGCAGCAGCCCCCCGCCCCCAGCCCGCCGAUCUCUGCACCCGCCACUCCGUGCCUCACCCGCGGGUGAGUGAUGCCACUGCCAGCUCGUUUAUUAUGUGACCAGUGUUGUGUCUCGGUAAAGUCAUGUGACCCUGUGUGCAGAGGUGUGUCAGUGACAGAGAAUGCUGCUGUCACCAUGACAACAGGAUUCAUACUAAUGAAUAUGAAUAUGAAAAUAACACACAUUUACAUUGUACAAAAAUACCUCUGUCAUGUACAAUAAAUGUACAUCAACUGCAUUUUUGCAGAAAUACAGAGGAUAUUGUCUGUCUACUGAUAUCUGUUUAUUGUGGGAUAUCAAAAUUUAUAAAUACAAUUAUCUGCAGUAUUAUUACAGUUGCACUAAAUAAACACACACACACACACACACACACACACACACACACACACACACACACACACACACACAUACACACACACAUACACAUAUUAUAGUCUGUAUAUCACUAAAGUAGCCUGUUGAUAACUGAAGACAUCAUUAGAAUAAUAAAAGAGUAAUAUUCUUAAUCUAUAGACUAUUCUAGAAAAUGAAGCAAAAUCUAGUAACAAUACCAGAGUCUAUGGGUGAGACCUUAGAGCCAGGCACCAAACUCCCAACUGUGCCGCAGCAUUUGCUGCCCACUGCUCCUGGUGUGUGUUCACUGCUGUAUGCAUUUGAAUGAACUAAAAAACGAAAACAAUGAGCAUUAUAUACUAAUUAAGCUGAAUGUUAAGCUGCAUUUCAUUUGUUAAAUAAAAAUGCAGUAAAAACAAUAACACUGUGAAGUACUAUUAUAAUUUAAAAUAACUAUUUUCUAUUUGGAUAAAUUUUAAAAUGUAAUUUAUUUCUGUAAUGGCAAAGCUGAAUUUUCAAGCAGGCAUUAGUCUUCAGUGUCACAUGAUCUUUCAAAAAAAUAUUCUAUUAUGCUAAUUUGCUGCUCAAGAAGCAUUUCUGAAGACAGUUGUGUCUUAAUAUUUUUGUGGAAACUGAUACAGUGAAAUUUAGAUUCUUUCGUUAGUCUAUUCUUUGAUGAAUAGAAAGUUCAAUAUAAACACAUGCUCUUCAGUGUUGAUUUCGAGGAAAGGUUUUUUUUUUCAUAUGAUGAGCUUUUUAUCAUAUGAUAUCAUAUCAUCAGAGCUGUUCAUGCUGACUUGACACUGCAGUCACAGUGGAAGAAAGUGAACAUUAGUGGGCCAAGGGCUCCAGCUAGUGGACACUUUAGGCAUUUACUUCAUCUUUAUAUAAAGCUGGUUUUGAUUGCAAAAUUUAUCUGUGAGUUUUUUUUUUUAUUAGAAUUACUAUUUGAUUUGAUGGUGCUCAGUAUUUUUCCAUAAAUGUAUUAUAUGUACAUACUGUUGGAACUGUAACUAGUUCUCAUUUACAACAGUAUAUAAAUAUCUGUUUCUCAUUCAGCCUCUAGAAAGGAGUUUCAAAGGGAUGGAGAAAUCACCCGACCCAUUGUGUCAUCCCCGAAGAGGUUUGCAGUGGUCUCUCCCAAGCCUCAGUCCCCUGGUGAGUGUGUGAUGUCUUUUUAUUCUGCUCCGCUGCUGCCACUCCUCCCACUGUCAUCUCCCAUUCCUUAUUAACCGGCUACCAGUGGUUGUCAUAGCAACACUGUGAAGACUAAAGACUUCCAUUAGGAAACUGGCAAGUAAUUCCCUCGCUAAUGUUUCUCCACUAAUAAAAUUUUUUGUUUCCUCAAUAAUUCAGUUAAAAUACACAAUAAAUUGAAAUACCAAUAUAUAAUGUUAGUUUGAAAACAUUUACAAAUGAAAUACAUGCAUAUUUAUAAAAAGAUAUUCUAAAGUCUUUUUUUAUGAUUUUGAAAGAAGUCUCUUAUGGUCACCAAGACUUAAUUUAUUUGAUCAAAAAUACAGUAAAACAGUAAUAAUGUGAAAUAUUUUUACAGUUUAGAAGAAUAAAUAUUUUCUAUUUUGAUAUACUUUAAAAUGUAAUUUAUUCCUGGGAUGCAAAGCUGCAUUUUCAUGAGAAAAUACUUCAGUGUCACAUGAUCCUUUGGAAAUCAUUCUAAGAAGCUGAUUUUGUCCUCAAGAAAUAUUUCUUAUUAUUAUGAAUGUUAAAAUCAGUUUUUGCUGCUUAAUAUUUUUGUGGAGACCAUGAUACAUUUUCUUCAGGAUUCUUUAAUGAACUUGAAUAAAAAUUUAUUUGAAUAGAAAAUUCAAAAGAACAGCAUUUAUUUGAAAUGAAACUCUCUUGUAAUGUCAUCAUUUAUGUUACUUUUGAUCAUCCGUAAAAGUAUUAAUUUUAAAAAAAUAAAUCUUACUGACCCUAACCUUUUGGACAGUAGUGUGUAUACCUGUAUAUGUGUAUAUGUAUGUACAUUUUAAAUUCACAUAUGCAAAAAAAAAUAAUAAUAAAAUAAAAAAUUCAAAUAAAUUAAUUUUGUUUAAAAUUUGAAAAGUCUGGUAAAUAGAAGUAUUUUCACUCAUGGGCUUCACUGUUUUACCAUACAUAUGUUACAUAUAUUUAUGGAUUAUGUAAUCCUGACGCCAUCAUCUCUGAGCUGACUCAUCAGGGAGCAUUAUGUGUGUUCAUGCAAGUCAGCAGUAACUGCUGAAUGUUUGACCUAAACAUAGUCUUUAUGGUCACAUUAACAUAUGGUCGUUAUACAGCUGUAAAUAUGAAACAUUUAAUUAAGCAAUAAUUUACAGUAAUUGACUUAAAUGACACAUGUAUGAAAUAACAUGAAUUGCAGUCAUAUUUCAAGCAUACUUGUAGUUUAAAAUAAACUGAGAGAAUCUUACAAAGCCUAUCACAGUCAAAAUUCACUAAUUUUGUAAUAAUAAUCUUAAUCUCAUACUAACACUUUUCAUUUUCUUUAUGCUCUUUUUUCAUAUGUUUUGUUCAUCCUACAGUCCGUCAGAAGUCAUGUGUGGCCCGUCUGGGUGGGCGUGCAGAGGGCGUGGAUGCUGAGCGGGAGCGGUUGAUGGUACAGAGACUGAGAGAGAGAUGUGAAGAUCAGGCUCGGCAGCUGAUCACCCUGCAGGACGAGCUCAGGAAGUCUUCACGAUGCUUGGAUGUGUUCACCCUAACCACACAACACUUCUGCCAGAAGGUAACACACUGUCAAAGCUGUAAAUGCUGGUGUGCUGGUAACUGAAUAGUUAAGACCCAAAGACCCACAGUGGUUGCAGGUUCAGUCCUAAACAGGGAUGACCCAGAAUUCAAAGUUAAGGUUGUAAAAGGCAUAAAAAACAGCUGAAUAAUUGUUUAGAAAACUGACUGUUCGAACGAUUCAAUUUGUGGAAAUGAGCCUGACUUCCCAUCACUGCUAUAAAAGCAGAGCUUCUGAUUCCCUGCAUGAUGUAAUCAUCUGAUCAUGUGAUGCUGGUUGGAGGGCAACUCAGCCCUGCUUCAUGGUAACUUAGGGACAAGACAAAAAUUAAUUGUCAUUUAAGCUUAAACAUCUCAUCUACAAUUUGAAGAGCACUAAUUUCAAAGAAGACCAGUUUGGAGCAAUGUGAAAGGGCAAUUUCUUAACCACAAACUCACCCAAAUGAGAGCAGUGUGAUUCCCAGAAACCACUGGAAGCCUGGCAGUGAAACAUGGAUUUGCAUUUACUUUUUUUGUGUUGGAUAUGCUGAAUUUUCUGGUAAAACUGUACUCUUAACAUUGUACUAACAACUCCAUUUAAUAUUUUCUUACAGUUGAAGUCAAAAGUUAACAUGCAAAUUGAAUGGUUUUCAUAAUGACUGUUUAAUAACCAUAAAAUGCAAAGAGGAUUUUUUUUUAUGUGUAGGCUGUAGUCUACAUGAUCCCAUGCUUUGAAAUUAACUCUCACUGUAAAUUUGAGGAUGUUAUAAUGUUAUAUUAUAAUGUUAUUGUUGUUUUAUUUCGUUAUUUGAACAUUCAAUACAACAAAUUUCGUAAUUACAGUCAGUUUGCAAUCUGUCCCUAUGCGCCACAUGGGGGUAGUUUCGUGAACGACUUUAACACGUGACUGGCCCUGCAGCGGCGGUACACACAGCGGUAAUGUGCAUUUUGGUUGGUCACCUACUGAACACAUUGCAGAAGCAUCAAAAUGUUAUUAAUUUUACUAAAAUAAGAGGGAUUUAUUUACUACUGACCUGAAUAAAUAAGAUAUUUCACAUAAAAGAUGUUUACAUAUGUUUACGUAAUGUUUAAUUGAAUACUUGUUAAAACAAUCACUUUAGCAAAGUUUGUACUAUUUUCUGCUUAUUUUGAAAAAAAAAAAAAAAAUGUUCAAUAAAUAUACUGUCAUUGAAAUAUGUUAAUAUAAAAAAUAUUUUAAAAUACAGAAACAAUUUUUUUUUUACAUUUGAUGGUUCCAUUCUAAACAUGGUGAUUAUAUCUAAUAUGGACACCCAACAUAAUAUAUGAUAUUUACCAUCUGAAUCUAACCAUAUCAUGUCAACAAAUGGGAAAGUCAGCCAUCUAUUAAUUAUCAUGUUAAUUACUGUGCGCCUUUAGCCUUAACAGCAGGGGCGCUUUUUACCCUUAAAUACCAUAC
ensembl:lncRNA